UGUGGGAGCGGGCUUGCUCGCGAAGGCGGAGUGUCAGUUACGAUCAUGUUGACUGACACUCUGCUAUCGCGAGCAAGCUCGCUCCCACA
rnacentral:misc_RNA from 1 species